rnacentral:rRNA from 1 species
UUACCUACGGGAGGCAGCAGUGGGGAAUAUUGCACAAUGGGGGAAACCCUGAUGCAGCGACGCCGCGUGAGUGAAGAAGUAUUUCGGUAUGUAAAGCUCUAUCAGCAGGGAAGAAAAUGACGGUACCUGACUAAGAAACCCCGGCUAACUACGUGCCAGCAGCCGCGGUAAUACGUAGGGGGCAAGCGUUAUCCGGAUUUACUGGGUGUAAAGGGAGCGUAGACGGCCAGACAAGUCAGAAGUGAAAACCCGCGGCUCAACUGCGGGAGCGCUUUUGAAACUGUUUGGCUGGAGUGCAGGAGAGG